CCAGAACGCACAGUUUGGGGUAAGGAUGAAGUGGUCGAUGCUCUCCGGAGGGACCAGCUCGGGCUGGCUCUGUGUUGCUGUGAAUAAUUUGCUUUAUGGAACGAGACACCUGAGACUGCCGCGGGAAUCCAGGGCUGGAGCCGGGAAGGAAACCUGGUCUGACCGCGGGAAGGGGAGCGGGGGUCAGGCGGGGCCCCCGUCGGUCACUGGAGCCGCCGCCGUGAAAGCGACGUCCAAGAACAUCCCAAAGGGCCUCCUCACCCUCAUGGACAGCAGGAAUGUCUUCCAUGGCUCCUGCUUGGGAAUGGCAGUGGCUGUUGGGAGCUCUGGCAGGAGCACCUGGAGACCAGGGUGAGGAAGCCAGCCCUGGCGAGGAGGAGGAUGAGGCGGUGUGGGAGGAUGGAGACAGCGGCCACCAAAGGCUGGGGAAGGCCCAGCUCCAGGAAUUUUCCUGGGCAUAUUUGAGAGUAAUUCCAAGAGUUUGGAAAUAGUUGAAAAACAAAGAGAGAUAAUUGUGAAGCCCGCCACAUCCCGGGGAAUGAGCAGAGCUGCAGAGCCGCGGGCAGGAGGAGCUGCUCCAGCAUAGGCACUGUCCUGCUCAUUCAACCCCUGCCAAGUGAGACCUGAUGCUUUCCUCACUCUUCCCCCAAGAUCUGUGCAACUCACAGUCUCCAAUGGCAAAAUCUCUGUUAGUAAAAUUCUAGUUGAAAUGUUUAAUCGGUUUCCAAAUCACGGGAUAUUGUGAGAUAGAAGGAACCCACAAGGAUCAUGAAAUUGAGCUCUAAGUGAAUGCUCCAUCCAGUAACUGAACUCACAACCUUUGGUGUUUUCAGCACUCUGCUCAAAACAGCUGAGCUGGUCUCUGUCGUCUGGAAUUCUAGGCUG